rnacentral:rRNA from 1 species
UACGAAGGGGGCUAGCGUUGUUCGGAAUUAUUGGGCGUAAAGGGCGCGUAGGCGGUUUGACAAGUCUGAUGUGAAAUCUAUGGGCUCAACCCAUAGCCUGCAUUAGAAACUGUCGGGCUUGAGUAUGGGAGAGGUGAGUGGAAUUUCCGGUGUAGCGGUGAAAUGCGUAGAUAUCGGAAGGAACACCAGUGGCGAAAGCGGCUUCCUGGUCCAGCACCGACGUUCAGGCACGAAAGCGUGGGGAGCAAACAGG